CUAAUUUUCCUAUAUUUUGCUUUGAUUCUGAGUUCUUCGGGUUACUUGUGCAAUGUUUCGUUUUUUGCUUGAUUCACAUGCUUCCCUUAGCCAUAUUUAUUAUUUUUGGAUUUUUACCCUAGUUUGAUUUCUCGACUGAUUUCUAUGUGUAACUGAAUUUGCAUUUUAGCCUGUUUGUCUAUAUAUUCUUCCUCUCUUUUA
rnacentral:lncRNA from 1 species